rnacentral:rRNA from 1 species
GAUGAACGCUGACAGAAUGCUUAACACAUGCAAGUCGAUGGGGAAGUGGUGCUUGCACCAUGGCAACCAUGGCGGACGGGUGAGUAACGCGUAAGGGACUUACCUGCAGGACUGGGAUAACAGGGGGAAACUCCUGACAAGACCGGAUAAUGUCAUGGAGCUGCAUGGCUUUAUGAUGAAAGGAGACGCCUGCGGAGAGCCUUGCGUCCUAUUAGCUAGUUGGUGAGGUAAUGGCUCACCAAGGCGAAGAUAGGUAGCCGGCCUGAGAGGGUGGACGGCCACAAGGGGACUGAGAUACGGCCCUUACUCCUACGGGAGGCAGCAGUGGGGAAUAUUGGACAAUGGGGGCAACCCUGAUCCGGCAAUUCUGUGUGCACGAAGAAGGUUUUCGGAUUGUAAAGUGCUUUCAGCAGGGAAGAAGUAAGUGACGGUACCUGCAGAAGAAGCGACGGCUAAAUACGUG